rnacentral:misc_RNA from 1 species
AGACCGUGCCCUUGUAGCGUGCUCUCGGUGUAUGUUCCAGAGACACCUUGGCUCAGCCGCCGUACCGUCUCGCCAUCGACCUCGAAACGAAACAAGCACGUGUACGCAGACACACGGGGGUGCUAAUGGAAUGGGCCGAUGACGUCGUCAACCGGCCGCGACGCGCCAAUGCAGGGAAUCGCCUGCAGGAACUGCUGGCGAAUGGCUUGGAUGAAGAAGAGGAGAAGGCACUGCAGGCGCUGAGCGACGCCUCGUCUGACACAAGCUUCACCCUCGGUAGUGACGAGGAGACGGUGGACGAGGUCGAGAGCGACUUCGACGCCGAGGAGGUCGGAGGCACGCUGGAGGGGGAGGAUGUGGAGACGGAGGCCUCAGUGCGCCGCGCAGAGCGGCAGGAACGGCAGCUGGAGCGGCGGAAGAAGCUACAGCGCUCGCAGAACUUUUCCAAGGUGGCGGCGCGUGAUCGAGCGCAGCGACUGGAAAGCACAAAGAGGCAGGAGAAGCGACAGCGCGGCACCGACGACGCCGAACGAGUUCCUCGGCAGCGGCAGCCGCGCAAGGAUGAAGCUGUCGCUGAGAACGAUGACGAGGACGGGGAGGAAGAAGACGACGAGGACGGGAGCGACGAUGUCAUCGACCUGCGCCAGCGGGUGCGGCAUCGGCCAGUCCCCACAAUACCCUGCAGCCAGCGUCUCGCGGAGGCGUACGCGCGUGCCGCGGCCUUACGAGCAGCGCAGGCUGCCGCAGAGGCCCCCAGGGAUGGUAACGCUGAAGGCGCAAGCUUUAGCGGCGGCGCCGGCGUCGUGUACACGCAUCGUGGACUUAACAUGUUAAAGGCGCGGCAACGGGCUCGGCGUCCGCAGCACAGCAGCAACAGCACUAUGCCGCGGUCUGCGUGGGAAGCGAGGGAGGCGCUGCCUGCGCCAGUAGAAGGCACCAUAUCGGAGCCGAUACCAGUGUGUGUGUCUCCACGCAUUGCACUCUACGAAGGCAUCCCGCAACGAGUGGGGUACAGCAGCGGGGCUUCCGUGCUUCAGCGCUUCCGCGUCCCCACCGUUGUGUCCUUCUCAGCUGCACUUCCCCCAGUGCUGCAGCCCUGAAAAGGACGCAGAACGAUUGAUUCGGAGCGCCCAGGCGCUCGCCAUCGACCUUCCACCUCUUCGUUGAGUUCCAUGUGAGGGCGUGUGUGUGUGUGUGUGCUCCUCUCGCUGACAUACGCUGCUGGUACAUGCGAAGACGAAUGACGAGCGAUGCGAAGGAAGUCGAUGUUUGUUCUUUCGUAAAAGGUGCAGGUAGUUGGCGGGUGCUGUGACGAACAGCAUCCGUGGGUGGCAUCGUGAAACUUGUCCACGUCUGUGGUUGUAGCGCCGCGCCUCCUCCACCCCCUCCCCUCCGUGCAUGCCACAACACGCCCCAAGCUGGUGCUCUCUCUCUUUCCGCUUUCACGAUUCCAGCCUCUCCUCUCCUCUCCUCUCUCUCCAUCCCCUUCCGUGCUCUUGCUUCACCACAUCCACAAACGUCCGCACAUGCAACCGCUAAUACACCUUCCCUCUCAAUGAUCUCUCCGUGUCCUCCCCCUCCUUCUUCAG